UACGUAGGGUGCGAGCGUUGUCCGGAAUUAUUGGGCGUAAAGAGCUCGUAGGCGGCUUGUCGCGUCGGAUGUGAAAGCCCGGGCUUAACUCCGGGUCUGCAUUCGAUACGGGCAGGCUAGAGUUCGGUAGGGGAGAUCGGAAUUCCUGGUGUAGCGGUGAAAUGCGCAGAUAUCGGGAAGAACACCCGUGGCGAAGGCGGUUCUCUGGGACGGUACUGGACGCUGAGACGCGAAAGCGUGGGGAGCGAACAGG
rnacentral:rRNA from 1 species